rnacentral:rRNA from 1 species
UUCUGCUCAAUGGUUUAUCUAAAUAGCCGCAGUACCCUGACUGUGCGAAGGUAGCAUAAUCAAUUGGCUUAUAAUUGAAGUCUGGAAUGAAUGAAUAAAUGGGUGAAUACUGUCUCUUUAAAAUAUAAUGAACUUACUAAGGAAGUGAAAAUUCUUCUAACAGUAUAAUAGACGAGAAGACCCUAGAAAUUUUUUAUAUUGUAUAUUAAUUAUUCUAUUUUGUUGGGGCGACAGAGUAACAUUUAACUUACUUUACCUUUAAGAAUUAAAUUAUAUGAAAAAUUAAAUUACUCUAGGGAUAACAGCAUAAUUUUAAAGAGUUUGUGACCUCGAUGUUGGACUAGGAAAUAUAUUGUUCAGAAGAUAAUAUAAAAAGCUCUGUUCGAGCAGUCCUUCCUACGUGAUCUGAGUUCAGACCGGA